CCUACGGGAGGCUGCAGUGAGGAAUAUUGGUCAAUGGACGGAAGUCUGAACCAGCCAUGCCGCGUGCAGGAAGACGGCUCUAUGAUUUGUAAACUGCUUUUGUACAAGGGUAAACCUGAAUACGUGUAUUUAGCUGAAAGUACUGUACGAAUAAGGAUCGGCUAACUCCGUGCCAGCAGCCGCGGUAAUACGGAGAAUCAAAGCGUUAUCCGGAUUUAUUGGGUUUAAAGGGUGCGUAGGCGGAUUGAUAAGUUAGAGGUGAAAUGUCCGAGCUUAAAUUGGGAACUGCCUGUAAUAGUGGUGAUCUAGAGAGUAGAUGCGGUAGGCGGAAUGUAUGGGGUAGCGGUGAAAUGCUGAGAGAUCAUACAGAACACCGAUUGCGAAGGCAGCUUACCAAUCUAUAUCUGACGUUGAGGCACGAAAGCGUGGGGAGCAAACAGGAUUAGAUACCCUAGUAGUC
rnacentral:rRNA from 1 species